UGCCCUUCGCCUCGAGGGAAACGAGGAGCCGCCCAUCAAGGAGAGCCGUGGCACCCGUAACCUUCCCCUACCCCUUCCCGACGCCGCCUUCAAGGUCGCCAUCCAUCGCGACCCCGAUAGAGCCCCACUGACCUGCCACAUCUCAUGCUGGCUCUCCAUCCUGUGCAGCCACAACCACAACCGCCUGCCUGCCGCAGCCUCGCGGUCAAAGUCUUCCCAACCUGUCGUCCCCAAACGAUGGCCGGGGCCAGGGGCCACCCCCAAACUUUGGUUCCUCCUCAUCUUCUCCUCUGCAAGGGCAUCCCGACCACCAGGCUUCUCCCUUCAAUCAGAUGGGACGGGAAGUAACAACUAGCUACUGCAACAUGUAGAUGUGAUUAAUGGCCUGCUGCAAGCUUAUUCAUGCCAACAAGGUGUUCGGUGAAAUCCCAACAAGGAUAUAAACG
rnacentral:lncRNA from 1 species